rnacentral:rRNA from 1 species
AGUGAACGCUGGCGGUAGGCCUAACACAUGCAAGUCGAACGGCAGCACAGGAGAGCUUGCUCUCUGGGUGGCGAGUGGCGGACGGGUGAGGAAUACAUCGGAAUCUACUCUGUCGUGGGGGAUAACGUAGGGAAACUUACGCUAAUACCGCAUACGACCUACGGGUGAAAGCAGGGGAUCUUCGGACCUUGCGCGAUUGAAUGAGCCGAUGUCGGAUUAGCUAGUUGGCGGGGUAAAGGCCCACCAAGGCGACGAUCCGUAGCUGGUCUGAGAGGGUGAUCAGCCACACUGGAACUGAGAAACGGUCCAGACUCCUACGGGAGGCAGCAGGGGGGAAUAUUGGACAAUGGGCGCAAGCCUGAUCCAGCCAUACCGCGUGGGUGAAGAAGGCCUUCGGGUUGUAAAGCCCUUUUGUUGGGAAAGAAAUCCAGCUGGCUAAUACCCGGUUGGGAUGACGGUACCCAAAGAAUAAGCACCGGCUAACUUCGUGCCAGCAGCCGCCGUAA